rnacentral:rRNA from 1 species
AAGGCUUGACAUGCAGGGAAAUCUCACAGAGAUGUGAGGUCCGCAAGGGUCCUGCACAGGUGGUGCAUGGUUGUCGUCAGCUCGUGUCGUGAGAUGUUGGGUUAAGUCCCGCAACGAGCGCAACCCUCGUUCUAUGUUGCCAGCGUGUAAUGACGGGGACUCAUAGGAGACUGCCGGGGUCAACUCGGAGGAAGGUGGGGAUGACGUCAAAUCAUCAUGCCCCUUAUGUCUUGGGCUGCACACAUGCUACAAUGGCCGAUACAAAGGGCUGCUAAGCCGCAAGGUGGAGCGAAUCCCAAAAAGUCGGUCUCAGUUCGGAUUGGGGUCUGCAACUCGACCCCAUGAAGUCGGAGUUGCUAGUAAUCGCAGAUCAGCAACGCUGCGGUGAAUACGUUCCCGGGCC